rnacentral:rRNA from 1 species
AACGAACGCUGGCGGCGCGUCUUAAGCAUGCAAGUCGAACGGCAAGAGAGAAGCUUGCUUCUCUCCUAGAGUGGCGGACUGGUGAGGAACACGUGGGUAAUCUACCCUUAAGAUGGGGAUAGCUGCUAGAAAUAGCAGAUAAUACCGAAUACACUCAAUAUUUCAUAAGAGGUAUUGAGGAAAGGAAGCUACGGCUUCGCUUGAGGAUGAGCUUGCGUCCCAUUAGCUAGUUGGUGAGGUAAAGGCCCACCAAGGCGACGAUGGGUAUCCGGCCUGAGAGGGUGAACGGACACAUUGGGACUGAGAUACGGCCCAAACUCCUACGGGAGGCAGCAGCUAAGAAUAUUCCGCAAUGGACGGAAGUCUGACGGAGCGACGCCGCGUGGAUGAAGAAGGCUGAAAAGUUGUAAAAUCCUUUUGUUGAUGAAGAAUAAGGGGAAGAGGGAAUGCUUCUCUGAUGACGGUAAUCAGCGAAUAAGCCCCGGCUAAUUACGUGCCAGCAGCCGCGGUAACACGUAAGGGGCGAGCGUUGUUCGGAAUUAUUGGGCGUAAAGGGCAUGUAGGCGGUUAUGUAAGCCUGAUGUGAAAUCCUGGGGCUUAACCCCAGAAUAGCAUUGGGUACUGUAUAACUUGAAUUACGGAAGGGAAACUGGAAUUCCAAGUGUAGGGGUGGAAUCUGUAGAUAUUUGGAAGAACACCGGUGGCGAAGGCGGGUUUCUGGCCGAUAAUUGACGCUGAGAUGCGAAAGUGUGGGGAUCGAACAGGAUUAGAUACCCUGGUAGUCCACACUGUAAACGAUGUACACUAGGUGUUGGGGCAAGAGCUUCAGUGCCAAAGCAAACGCGAUAAGUGUACCGCCUGGGGAGUAUGCCCGCAAGGGUGAAACUCAAAGGAAUUGACGGGGGCCCGCACAAGCGGUGGAGCAUGUGGUUUAAUUCGGUGGUACGCGACGACCUUACCUGGGUAUGACAUCUAGUGGAAUGCCUUACAGAUAAGG